UAAGGAAUAUUGGUCAAUGGACGGAAGUCUGAACCAGCCAUCCCGCGUGCAGGAUGACGGCCCUAUGGGUUGUAAACUGCUUUUAGCAGAGACGAAACGCCUUCAUUAAUGGGGGUCUGACGGUAUCUGCAGAAUAAGCACCGGCUAACUCCGUGCCAGCAGCCGCGGUAAUACGGAGGGUGCAAGCGUUAUCCGGAAUCACUGGGUUUAAAGGGUGCGUAGGCGGGGAAUUAAGUCAGUGGUGAAAGCCUGUCGCUUAACGAUAGAAUUGCCAUUGAUACUGAUUUUCUUGAAUUGGGUUGAGGUUAGCGGAAUGUGACAUGUAGCGGUGAAAUGCAUAGAUAUGUCAUGGAACACCAAUUGCGAAGGCAGCUAGCUGGGCCUUGAUUGACGCUGAGGC
rnacentral:rRNA from 1 species